AAUAGAUACCCGGGUAGUCCACGCCGUAAACGUUGGGCGCUAGAUGUGGGGGCCAUUCCACGGUUUCCGCGUCGUAGCUAACGCAUUAAGCGCCCCGCCUGGGGAGUACGGCCGCAAGGCUAAAACUCAAAGGAAUUGACGGGGGCCCGCACAAGCGGCGGAGCAUGCGGAUUAAUUCGAUGCAACGCGAAGAACCUUACCAAGGCUUGACAUAUACGAGAACACUGCAGAAAUGUAGGACUCUUUGGACACUCGUAAACAGGUGGUGCAUGGUUGUCGUCAGCUCGUGUCGUGAGAUGUUGGGUUAAGUCCCGCAACGAGCGCAACCCUCGUCGCAUGUUGCCAGCACGUUAUGGUGGGAACUCAUGUGAGACUGCCGGGGUCAACUCGGAGGAAGGUGGGGAUGACGUCAAAUCAUCAUGCCCCUUAUGUCUUGGGCUUCACGCAUGCUACAAUGGCCGGUACAAAGGGCUGCAAUACCGCAAGGUGGAGCGAAUCCCAAAAAGCCGGUCUCAGUUCGGA
rnacentral:rRNA from 1 species